GACAGAGGUCCCGAGCGUUAGGCGGAAUCACUGGGCUUAAAGCGUGUGUAGGCGGAUCGUUAAGUACCUUGUGAAAUCCCACGGCUUAACCGUGGAACUGCUUGGUAUACUGGCGAUCUUGAGCCACUUAGGGGCUACCGGAACAAAUGGUGGAGCGGCGAAAUGCGUAGAUAUCAUUUGGAACGCCAAUGGUGAAAACAGGUAGCUGGGAGUGUGCUGACGCUGAGACACGAAAGCCAGGGGAGCAAACGGG
rnacentral:rRNA from 1 species